rnacentral:misc_RNA from 1 species
GAUGAAGAACGCAGCGAAAUGCGAUAAGUAAUGUGAACUGCAGAAUUCAGUGAAUCAUCGAAUCUUUGAACGCACAUUGCGCCCGCCAGUAUUCUGGCGGGCAUGCCUGUUCGAGCGUCAUUACAACCCUCAGGCCCCCGGGCCUGGCGUUGGGGAUCGGCGGAAGCCCCCUGCGGGCACAACGCCGUCCCCCAAAUACAGUGGCGGUCCCGCCGCAGCUUCCAUUGCGUAGUAGCUAACACCUCGCAACUGGAGAGCGGCGCGGCCACGCCGUAAAACACCCAACUUCUGAAUGUUGACCUCGAAUCAGGUAGGAAUACCCGCUGAACUUAAGCAUAUCAAUAAGCGGAGGA